UACGAAGGGGGCUAGCGUUGCUCGGAAUUACUGGGCGUAAAGGGCGCGUAGGCGGCACUGUUAGUCAGGCGUGAAAGUCCUGGGCUCAACCUGGGAACUGCGCUUGAUACGGCAGAGCUAGAGGAUGGAAGAGGGUCGCGGAAUUCCCAGUGUAGAGGUGAAAUUCGUAGAUAUUGGGAAGAACCCCGGUGGCGAAGGCGGCGACGUGGUCCAUUACUGACGCUGAGGCGCGACAGCGUGGGGAGAAAACAGG
rnacentral:rRNA from 1 species